rnacentral:lncRNA from 1 species
GGAGGAGAGAGAGAACGGCGGGCUGGAUGGGAAGAGGCCUGGCCUGUGUACAUGUCAUGGAAACAUAUUCGUGUCAUGGAAACAUAUCGAAUGCUUUUACGUUUUCUCUUUGUGAGUGGAUUACGCCGUUUCGUUUUUUCGGUGAUGGAAGAACAGGGGGUUACGUGGCAUCGAUUUGUAAUAACAAAAAAAUUCGUGUUGAAAUCCGAUUUCAUAUCACAGUGUUGCAUUCCUUCCACCACAUUGCGUAUAGCUUUGAAUGCUCCUAUAGUGUAC